rnacentral:rRNA from 1 species
GACGAACGCUGGCGGCGUCUUAACACAUGCAAGUCGAACGGAAAGGCCCUGCUUUUGUGGGGUGCUCGAGUGGCGAACGGGUGAGUAACACGUGAGUAACCUGCCCUUGACUUUGGGAUAACUUCAGGAAACUGGGGCUAAUACCGGAUAGGAGCUCCUGCUGCAUGGUGGGGGUUGGAAAGUUUCGGCGGUUGGGGAUGGACUCGCGGCUUAUCAGCUUGUUGGUGGGGUAGUGGCUUACCAAGGCUUUGACGGGUAGCCGGCCUGAGAGGGUGACCGGCCACAUUGGGACUGAGAUACGGCCCAGACUCCUACGGGAGGCAGCAGUGGGGAAUAUUGCACAAUGGGCGGAAGCCUGAUGCAGCAACGCCGCGUGCGGGAUGACGGCCUUCGGGUUGUAAACCGCUUUCGCCUGUGACGAAGCGUGAGUGACGGUAAUGGGUAAAGAAGCACCGGCUAACUACGUG